GCGGGCGUGGCGGAAUUGGCAGACGCGCUGGACUUAGGAUCCAGUGGCCGCAAGGCUUUGCAGGUUCAACUCCUGUCGCCCGCA
rnacentral:tRNA from 1 species